AACGAACGCUGGCGGCAUGCCUAACACAUGCAAGUCGAACGAGACCUUCGGGUCUAGUGGCGCACGGGUGCGUAACGCGUGGGAACCUACCCUUAGGUUCGGAAUAACUCCCCGAAAGGGGUGCUAAUACCGGAUAAUGUCUUCGGACCAAAGAUUUAUCGCCUUUGGAUGGGCCCGCGUUGGAUUCGCUAGUUGGUAGGGUAAAAGCCUACCAAGGCGACGAUCCAUAGCUGGUCUGAGAGCAUGAUCAGCCACACUGGGACUGAGACACGGCCCAGACUCCUACGGGAGGCAGCGGUGGGGAAUAUAGGACAAGGGGCGAAAGCCUGAUCCAGCAAUGCCGCGUGAGUGAUGAAGGCCUUAGGGUUGUAAAGCUCUUUUACCCGGGAUGAUAAUGACAGUACCGGGAGAAUAAGCACCGGCUAACUCCGUG
rnacentral:rRNA from 1 species